UAGAGUUUGAUCAUGGCUCAGAUUGAACGCUGGCGGCAGGCCUAACACAUGCAAGUCGAGCGGUAACAGGAAUUAGCUUGCUAAUUUGCUGACGAGCGGCGGACGGGUGAGUAAUGGCUGGGAACCUGCCCUAAUGAGGGGGAUAACAGUUGGAAACGACUGCUAAUACCGCAUGACGUCUUAUCUGUAGUGGAUUUGACCAAAGAGGAGGACCUUCGGGCUUCUCGCAUUAGGAUGGGCCCAGUUGGGAUUAGCUUGUUGGUGAGGUAAUGGCUCACCAAGGCGACGAUCCCUAGCUGGUUUGAGAGGAUGAUCAGCCACACCGGAACUGAGACACGGUCCAGACUCCUACGGGAGGCAGCAGUGGGGAAUAUUGCACAAUGGGGGAAACCCUGAUGCAGCCAUGCCGCGUGUGUGAAGAAGGCCUUCGGGUUGUAAAGCACUUUCAGUUGUGAGGAAAGGUGUGUAGUUAAUAGCUGCAUACUGUGACGUUAACAACAGAAGAAGCACCGGCUAACUUCGUGCCAGCAGCCGCGGUAAUACGAGGGGUGCAAGCGUUAAUCGGAAUUACUGGGCGUAAAGCGUUCGUAGGCGGUUGAAUAAGCAAGAUGUGAAAGCCCAGGGCUCAACCUUGGAACUGCAUUUUGAACUGUUCGACUAGAGUACUGUAGAGGGGGGUAGAAUUUCA
rnacentral:rRNA from 1 species